GACGAACGCUGGCGGCGUGCCUAAUACAUGCAAGUAGGACGCAGUUGCGAACGGGUGAAUAACGCGUAGGUAACUACCUAUUAGAGGGGGAUAACUAUUGGCAACGAUAGCUAAUACCGCCUACUAGUAGAUGGACCUGCUUUGUAUUAGCUAGUAGGUAGGGUAAUGGCCUACCUAGGCAACGAUACAUAGCCGACCUGAGAGGGUGGACGGCCACACUGGGACUUGGGCACGGCCCAGACUCCUACGGGAGGCAGCAGUAGGGAAUCUUCGGCAAUGGGGGGAACCCUGACCGAGCAACGCCGCGGGAGUGAAGAAGGUUUUCGGAUCGUAAAGCUCUGUUGUUAAGGAAGCGGUACUUACCCAGAAAGGGACGGCUAACUACGUGCCAGCAGCCGCGGUAAUUC
rnacentral:rRNA from 1 species